GCUAGGAUAGCUCAGUCGGUGGAGCAUGAGAUUCUUAAUCUCAGGAUCAUGGCUUUGAGCCCCAUGUUGGGCA